rnacentral:rRNA from 1 species
UACGGAGGAUGCAAGCGUUAAUCGGAAUUACUGGGCGUAAAGCGUGCGUAGACGGUUACAUAAGUCGGGUGUGAAAGCCCCGGGCUCAACCUGGGAAUUGCAUUCGAGACUGCGUAGCUAGGGUGCGGAAGAGGGAAGCGGAAUUUCCGGUGUAGCGGUGAAAUGCGUAGAUAUCGGAAGGAACACCAGUGGCGAAAGCGGCUUCCUGGUCCAGCACCGACGUUCAGGCACGAAAGCGUGGGGAGCAAACAGG